CCUAUAGUUGAAUUGUUUAGAAGUAUAAAACCGGUCGCACUGCUACGAUCCCAAAUUCAUCCCUAACCCCAACACUGCAAACAGUUUUAAAAUUAAAUCCCUUUAUUUUCAAUAUUUUCCCACUCUUUCCUCUUUUUCGUUCUCCCCCUUCGUGCCGCCUCCUGUCCCUCUCCCUCUCCCGAUUCCUUUCCCCUUCACAGCCCUUGCUGCCGCAACCAGCCUCCAGCCGCGCCGCCCUCACCGGUGAGCUUCUCUCCCUUUGAUGACCUCCCUCCGACGACCCCUCUCCCUUCCCUUCUCGGUAUCUCUCUAUUUCCCUUUUUCUCUCUCGGUAGCCCUAGUGACACAGUACGCCGCCACUGUGAACAGCCAGCGUAACCACCACGAGCACACCGUUGCCGGCCACCACCAAUCACGACUGCCUCACUCGUAGAUCUUCUCCCUCUGCCACCGAUGAAGAGAACAGGUGUCAGCCUGGUUUUAAAAAUAGGGAGUAGGGUUUUAGCUUUGCUGCUUCCAUUGCUUGUUCUCUCUCGCAUCUCCGUAGCUCCUCUUCCAACAAAAUAACGCUCGAACUACAGUGAGCAACAACAGGGAUAACUUCUGCAUGUCCGAUCUCAACGCCAGUAUUCUCUAAUUCCUUAAAACCCAAAUCUCUCGCUGUUGUCGAUCUUAUUUGCUAAUCUAUUUUUUCCUUUUAGUUUAAUUUUUCUGUGCGUUGCUCUCAACCAGAGGAUCGAGCAGGCCUUGUUUUUCUUUUUCGCAGCUUGCAGUUUGGUUUUUGUAUGUCAUAGCACAGCACCGUCACUUCUUUAGAUCUUCAUGAAUUUUCAGUAGCUUUUUCUUGAGAUUGUAGCAAUUCUUGUUUCGGUGAUGGAGGAAGCUGUACCGCUUUGUGGCUGCACUUGAAGACAUUUAAUUCUUGAAUAAACACCAUUAAUCUCGUGUUUAAUUGCGCAGAAUUGUAUUUUGUUAGAAUUUCAGAAUUGUGGAACUUGAAUAUGAAUCUUCCUACUAGAAUUUCAUCAUAAAAUUGGGUAAAAUUAAGAAGUUUAAGAGAGAUUGCUUGUUUUAAUUAAUAAUUCGUUUGCGUCUUGUGUUGGCAUCAGUUACAUCUUCAGGAGAUUGUGCCAUUAAAUGCUGGGAAUAUCUUUUAGUGAUCCCCCAUCUCCAUCAAAAUUUAAUCCAUCUGAUGAUAUCCCAGAUAUAGAAUGGGAUAAGAUUGAACGUCUUGUCUUUCAAAAACUUCUUUAUUAUGCUGCCACAUAUUCUGUGUUUUAAUUGGGUGAAAAAUCCAGACUAUGAUCGGGUAUGUAAAGUAGUAUUCAUAAACUUCUUUAUUAUGCUGCCACAUAUUCUGUAUUUUAAUUGUGUUGUCUUGAAAAUUGCAAUUUUUUUAUGUUCCAAUUGUGUUUGUUUUUGUGAAGGUUGACUGGAUAAACAAGUUUCUUGAGUAUAUGUGACCAUAUCUUGACAAGGUCAAACUGCUCCUGAAUUUCAUUUGAUCUAUUUUUAGGGUAUAGAUUUAACUGCUUCUAUAUAUCUCUUCAUAAGUAUUUGAUGCUCUUUAUUUUCUUAUAGGCAAUUUGCAUGACUGCAAGGAACAUUGCAAAGCCUAUAAUUGCUGUUAAAAUGUACUACAAAUCCUAAUAUCACUGUUUCUGUUAAAGCAUUUGGGUUGAAAGCAACUGUACAGGUGAUUGGUUUGUUUUACUCAGUGAGGAAGAUUUUGUGAUAUGAAAGAAAGGGAGGGAGGGAGGGAGCUGAUUCUAAAUAUUGUUCAGUUGGGAUGAUUUCAUGUGGGGGAUUUGCCAAGUGUUUGCUGCACCACGUAUCACCUUGAAGCCAUUGGUUCCAACCUUUCCUUGUUUUGCCAAAAUCUAUGUGUCUCUCAUGGACAAGGUAUUUGGCAUAGGAGAAAUAGAGCAGUGUUUGAGGACAGAUUUGAUGGUCCUGGUCUGGUAAUCAAAAAAGCAGCUAUGAUGUUAGAAGGGUUCCAGGAAGCUGAAGGAAUUCUGAGUGGGCAGAAACAGAUUGCUGGUACAAGUAGAGCAAAUACAAAGUGGCUGGAGGCUCUUGAACAAGUGACAGAAAUUAAUUUUGAUGCUUCAGUGGAUAAAGUUGGUAAGAAAAUGGGGAUGGGGGAGGUGGCAAGGAACCAUGAAGGGGAGUUAAUGUUUUCUAUAUGUGCUGCAAGAUGAUUUGUGGGUGAUGUUGAGGUAGCUGAAGUAAAAGCUUUGUGGAAGGCCAUGGAGAUGGCUACUGUGCUGAAUUUGUAGAAGGUCUGUUUCAGAGGGGAUGCACACAAGGUGAUUAAAGUUGUGAGGAGCAAGGAAAUAUGCAAUGGGUGGAUGGAGCAGCUGGUGUUUGACAUAAAAGAAGUGCUGUCACAUAGGCCUAAUUGGUCUGUUAACUUCAUUUACAGAGAAGGAAACCAGAUUGCAGAUCAAUUGGCAAAAGAGCAUUGAGAAGAGAUGAGGAAUCUUACUGGAUGGAAGAUGGACCUGCUGAACUUAUGUAUCUAGUAGAGCAAGAGAAACCAUGUAUUGAGCAAGGCUCAGAUUUAUUAAUUGGGAGGACUAAAAGGAAAGGAACUGCACAAAUUUCGUACGGGGAAAAAAAAAAAAAAACUUUCGUGGCAUAUUGCUAUAUUAGUAUGUGGGAUUCUGAAUUCUUUGGGGUCUAUUGGGUUAAAAAAACAAUUGGCGGGUUUAUGCCCCGUCGGCCGUUAAAAUUUGGUACUCAAUAUAUAGCCCCAAUUUCGAGUGC